AGCAAGUGUGGUGCAGUGGUUAGGAUGCUGGGCUAGGAUCUGGGAGACCCAGGUUCAAAUCCCCACUCUGCCA
rnacentral:tRNA from 1 species